CGGAGGAAAAGAAACCAACAGGGAUUGCCUCAGUAACGGCGAGUGAAGCGGCAAAAGCUCAAAUUUGAAAUCUGGUUCCUUCGGGGCCCGAGUUGUAAUUUGUAGAGGAUGCUUCGGGCGUGGCCGCGGUCCAAGUCCCCUGGAACGGGGCGUCGCAGAGGGUGAGAAUCCCGUCUUCGGCCGGCCGGCUUCGCCCGUGUGAAGCUCCUUCGACGAGUCGAGUUGUUUGGGAAUGCAGCUCUAAAUGGGUGGUAAAUUUCAUCUAAAGCUAAAUACUGGUCGGAGACCGAUAGCGCACAAGUAGAGUGAUCGAAAGAUGAAAAGCACUUUGAAAAGAGAGUUAAACAGCAUGUGAAAUUGUUGAAAGGGAAGCGCUUGCGACCAGAGUCGGCCGCGGGGGUUCAGCGGGCACUCGUUGCCCGUGCACUCCCCCGGGGCCGGGCCAGCGUCGGUUUCGACGGCCGGUCAAAGGCCCCCGGAAUGUGUCGCCUCUCGGGGCGUCUUAUAGCCGGGGGUGCAAUGCGGCCAGUCGGGACCGAGGAACGCGCUUCGGCACGGACGCUGGCUUAAUGGUCGUAAGCGACCCGUCUU
rnacentral:rRNA from 1 species